rnacentral:rRNA from 1 species
GAAUUCGCCCUUAGAGUUUGAUCCUGGCUCAGGACGAACGCUGGCGGCGUGCUUAACAUAUGCAAGUCGAACGGAGCGCCUAUGAAGGAGAUUUCGGUCAACGGAAUAGGUUGCUUAGUGGCGGACGGGUGAGUAACGCGUGAGGAACCUGCCUUUCAGAGGGGGACAACAGUUGGAAACGACUGCUAAUACCGCAUAACACAUAGGUGCCGCAUGGCAUUUAUGUCAAAGAUUUAUCGCUGAAAGAUGGCCUCGCGUCUGAUUAGCUAGUUGGUGAGGUAACGGCUCACCAAGGCGACGAUCAGUAGCCGGACUGAGAGGUUGGCCGGCCACAUUGGGACUGAGAUACGGCCCAGACUCCUACGGGAGGCAGCAGUGGGGAAUAUUGGGCAAUGGGCGCAAGCCUGACCCAGCAACGCCGCGUGAAGGAAGAAGGCUUUCGGGUUGUAAACUUCUUUUGACAGGGAAGAGUAGAAGACGGUACCUGUCGAAUAAGCCACGGCUAACUACGUGCCAGCAGCCGCGGUAAUACGUAGGUGGCAAGCGUUGUCCGGAUUUACUGGGUGUAAAGGGCGUGUAGCCGGGUUGACAAGUCAGAUGUGAAAUCCUGCGGCUUAACCGCAGAACUGCAUUUGAAACUGUUGAUCUUGAGUACUGGAGAGGCAGACGGAAUUCCUAGUGUAGCGGUGAAAUGCGUAGAUAUUAGGAGGAACACCAGUGGCGAAGGCGGUCUGCUGGACAGCAACUGACGGUGAGGCGCGAAAGCGUGGGGAGCAAACAGGAUUAGAUACCCUGGUAGUCCACGCUGUAAACGAUGGAUACUAGGUGUGCGGGGACUGACCCCCUGCGUGCCGCAGUUAACACAAUAAGUAUCCCACCUGGGGAGUACGAUCGCAAGGUUGAAACUCAAAGGAAUUGACGGGGGCCCGCACAAGCGGUGGAUUAUGUGGUUUAAUUCGAAGCAACGCGAAGAACCUUACCAGGGCUUGACAUCCCGGUGACCGCUGUAGAGAUACAGUUUUCCCUUCGGGGACACUGGUGACAGGUGGUGCAUGGUUGUCGUCAGCUCGUGUCGUGAGAUGUUGGGUUAAGUCCCGCAACGAGCGCAACCCUUAUUGUUAGUUGCUACGCAAGAGCACUCUAGCGAGACUGCCGUUGACAAAACGGAGGAAGGUGGGGACGACGUCAAAUCAUCAUGCCCCUUAUGUCCUGGGCCACACACGUACUACAAUGGUGGUCAACAGAGGGAAGCAAUACCGCGAGGUGGAGCAAAUCCCUAAAAGCCAUCCCAGUUCGGAUCGCAGGCUGCAACCCGCCUGCGUGAAGUUGGAAUCGCUAGUAAUCGCGGAUCAGCAUGCCGCGGUGAAUACGUUCCCGGGCCUUGCACUCACCGCCCGUCA